GUGACACUGCGCCGAAAAUGUACCGGGGCUAAACAUAUUACCGAAGCUGUGGAUUGUCCUUUGGACAAUGGUAGGAGAGCGUUCUAAGGGCGUUGAAGCAUGAUCGUAAGGACAUGUGGAGCGCUUAGAAGUGAGAAUGCCGGUGUGAGUAGCGAAAGACGGGUGAGAAUCCCGUCCACCGAUUGACUAAGGUUUCCAGAGGAAGGCUCGUCCGCUCUGGGUUAGUCGGGUCCUAAGCUGAGGCCGACAGGCGUAGGCGAUGGAUAACAGGUUGAUAUUCCUGUACCACCUAUAAUCGUUUUAAUCGAUGGGGGGACGCAGUAGGAUAGGCGAAGCGUGCGAUUGGAUUGCACGUCUAAGCAGUAAGGCUGAGUAUUAGGCAAAUCCGGUACUCGUUAAGGCUGAGCUGUGAUGGGGAGAAGACAUUGUGUCUUCGAGUCGUUGAUUUCACACUGCCGAGAAAAGCCUCUAGAUAGAAAAUAGGUGCCCGUACCGCAAACCGACACAGGUAGUCAAGAUGAGAAUUCUAAGGUGAGCGAGCGAACUCUCGUUAAGGAACUCGGCAAAAUGACCCCGUAACUUCGGGAGAAGGGGUGCUCUUUAGGGUUAACGCCCAGAAGAGCCGCAGUGAAUAGGCCCAAGCGACUGUUUAUCAAAAACACAGGUCUCUGCUAAACCGUAAGGUGAUGUAUAGGGGCUGACGCCUGCCCGGUGCUGGAAGGUUAAGAGGAGUGGUUAGCUUCUGCGAAGCUACGAAUCGAAGCCCCAGUAAACGGCGGCCGUAACUAUAACGGUCCUAAGGUAGCGAAAUUCCUUGUCGGGUAAGUUCCGACCCGCACGAAAGGCGUAACGAUUUGGGCACUGUCUCAACGAGAGACUCGGUGAAAUCAUAGUACCUGUGAAGAUGCAGGUUACCCGCGACAGGACGGAAAGACCCCGUGGAGCUUUACUGUAGCCUGAUAUUGAAAUUCGGCACAGCUUGUACAGGAUAGGUAGGAGCCUUUGAAACGUGAGCGCUAGCUUACGUGGAGGCGCUGGUGGGAUACUACCCUAGCUGUGUUGGCUUUCUAACCCGCACCACUUAUCGUGGUGGGAGACAGUGUCAGGCGGGCAGUUUGACUGGGGCGGUCGCCUCCUAAAAGGUAACGGAGGCGCUCAAAGGUUCCCUCAGAAUGGUUGGAAAUCAUUCAUAGAGUGUAAAGGCAUAAGGGAGCUUGACUGCGAGACCUACAAGUCGAGCAGGGUCGAAAGACGGACUUAGUGAUCCGGUGGUUCCGCAUGGAAGGGCCAUCGCUCAACGGAUAAAAGCUACCCCGGGGAUAACAGGCUUAUCUCCCCCAAGAGUUCACAUCGACGGGGAGGUUUGGCACCUCGAUGUCGGCUCAUCGCAUCCUGGGGCUGUAGUCGGUCCCAAGGGUUGGGCUGUUCGCCCAUUAAAGCGGUACGCGAGCUGGGUUCAGAACGUCGUGAGACAGUUCGGUCCCUAUCCGUCGUGGGCGUAGGAAAUUUGAGAGGAGCUGUCCUUAGUACGAGAGGACCGGGAUGGACAUACCUCUGGUGUACCAGUUGUCGUGCCAACGGCAUAGCUGGGUAGCUAUGUGUGGACGGGAUAAGUGCUGAAAGCAUCUAAGCAUGAAGCCCCCCUCAAGAUGAGAUUUCCCAACUUCGGUUAUAAGAUCCCUCAAAGAUGAUGAGGUUAAUAGGUUCGAGGUGGAAGCAUGGUGACAUGUGGAGCUGACGAAUACUAAUCGAUCGAAGACUUAAUCAAAA
rnacentral:rRNA from 1 species